GAGUAAGGCUCCGGUAAAGCAUCGCUAGAUACCAGAUGUUGGAGGUGGAAAUUGGUGUACAGUUAUAUAAUUUCUGCAUCGAAGCCGACGCCAAACGCAUUACGCACGCGGAGACAUCUCUGAGCGACGCGGCAAAAAGUGCGCGCGCGCUCCAAAAAUCCACCAGGAAAGACGAAGAAGACGAAAAUUUGGCCAUCGAAGGACAAAUGUAUGCUGCUGGGAUUGCAGACUAAUGAUUCAAAAGUGCACCAGUGGUGCUGCGUGCCGCGGAGCCCUGCAAGCAAAACAUGCGCCGGGAAGAUAG